rnacentral:rRNA from 1 species
GACAGAGGGUGCAAACGUUGUUCGGAAUUACUGGGCGUAAAGCGCGUGUAGGCGGCUCGGAAAGUCGGAUGUGAAAGCCCAGGGCUCAACCCUGGAAGUGCACUCGAAACUCCCGAGCUUGAGUCCCGGAGAGGAAGGCGGAAUUCUCGGUGUAGAGGUGAAAUUCGUAGAUAUCGAGAGGAACACCUGUGGCGAAGGCGGCCUUCUGGACGGUGACUGACGCUGAGACGCGAAAGCGUGGGGAGCAAACAGG